rnacentral:rRNA from 1 species
CUACGGGAGGCUCCAGUGAGGAAUAUUGCACAAUGGGGGGAACCCUGAUGCAGCAACGCCGCGUGGAGGAUGACGCAUUUCGGUGUGUAAACUCCUUUUAUAUGUCAAGAAAAUGACGGUAGCAUAUGAAUAAGCACCGGCUAACUCCGUGCCAGCAGCCGCGGUAAUACGGAGGGUGCAAGCAUUACUCGGAAUCACUGGGCGUAAAGGACGCGUAGGCGGGUUGGAAAGUCAGGUGUGAAAUCCUACAGCUUAACUGUAGAACUGCACUUGAAACUUCUAAUCUAGAGUAUGGGAGGGGGAGAUGGAAUUAGGGGUGUAGGGGUAAAAUCCGUAGAUAUCACUAGGAAUACCUAAAGCGAAGGCGAUCUCCUGGAACAUUACUGACGCUAAGGCGUGAAAGCGUGGGGAGCAAACAGGAUUAGAUACCCCGGUAGUC